UUGAACGCUGGCGGCAGGCCUAACACAUGCAAGUCGAACGGUAACAGAAAGCAGCUUGCUGCUUUGCUGACGAGUGGCGGACGGGUGAGUAAUGUCUGGGAAACUGCCCGAUGGAGGGGGAUAACUACUGGAAACGGUAGCUAAUACCGCAUAACGUCGCAAGACCAAAGAGGGGGACCUUCGGGCCUCUUGCCAUCGGAUGUGCCCAGAUGGGAUUAGCUAGUAGGUGGGGUAACGGCUCACCUAGGCGACGAUCCCUAGCUGGUCUGAGAGGAUGACCAGCCACACUGGAACUGAGACACGGUCCAGACUCCUACGGGAGGCAGCAGUGGGGAAUAUUGCACAAUGGGCGCAAGCCUGAUGCAGCCAUGCCGCGUGUAUGAAGAAGGCCUUCGGGUUGUAAAGUACUUUCAGCGGGGAGGAAGGGAGUAAAGUUAAUACCUUUGCUCAUUGACGUUACCCGCAGAAGAAGCACCGGCUAACUCCGUGCCAGCAGCCGCGGUAAUACGGAGGGUGCAAGCGUUAAUCGGAAUUACUGGGCGUAAAGCGCACGCAGGCGGUUUGUUAAGUCAGAUGUGAAAUCCCCGGGCUCAACCUGGGAACUGCAUCUGAUACUGGCAAGCUUGAGUCUCGUAGAGGGGGGUAGAAUUCCAGGUGUAGCGGUGAAAUGCGUAGAGAUCUGGAGGAAUACCGGUGGCGAAGGCGGCCCCCUGGACGAAGACUGACGCUCAGGUGCGAAAGCGUGGGGUGCAAACAGGAUUAGAUACCCUGGUAGUCCACGCCGUAAACGAUGAGUGCUAGGUGUUAGGCCCUUUCCGGGGCUUAGUGCCGGAGCUAACGCAAUAAGCACUCCGCCUGGGGAGUACGACCGCAAGGUUGAAACUCAAAGGAAUUGACGGGGGCCCGCACAAGCGGUGGAGCAUGUGGUUUAAUUCGAUGCAACGCGAAGAACCUUACCUGGUCUUGACAUCCACGGAAGUUUUCAGAGAUGAGAAUGUGCCUUCGGGAACCGUGAGACAGGUGCUGCAUGGCUGUCGUCAGCUCGUGUUGUGAAAUGUUGGGUUAAGUCCCGCAACGAGCGCAACCCUUAUCCUUUGUUGCCAGCGGUCCGGCCGGGAACUCAAAGGAGACUGCCAGUGAUAAACUGGAGGAAGGUGGGGAUGACGUCAAGUCAUCAUGGCCCUUACGACCAGGGCUACACACGUGCUACAAUGGCGCAUACAAAGAGAAGCGACCUCGCGAGAGCAAGCGGACCUCAUAAAGUGCGUCGUAGUCCGGAUUGGAGUCUGCAACUCGACUCCAUGAAGUCGGAAUCGCUAGUAAUCGUGGAUCAGAAUGCCACGGUGAAUACGUUCCCGGGCCUUGUACACACCGCCCGUCACACCAUGGGAGUGGGUUGCAAAAGAAGUAGGUAGCUUAACCUUCGGGAGGGCGCUUACCACUUUGUGAUUCAUGACUGGGGUG
rnacentral:rRNA from 1 species